rnacentral:rRNA from 1 species
UACGGAGGGUGCAAGCGUUAUCCGGAUUUACUGGGUUUAAAGGGUGCGCAGGUGGGUAGGAAAGUCAGUGGUGAAAUCUUCGGGCUUAACCCGGAAACUGCCAUUGAUACUAUUUAUCUUGAAUACUUUGGAGGUAAGCGGAAUAUGUCAUGUAGCGGUGAAAUGCUUAGAUAUGACAUAGAACACCAAUUGCGAAGGCAGCUUACUACACAGUUAUUGACACUGAGGCACGAAAGCGUGGGGAUCAAACAGG